rnacentral:pre_miRNA from 1 species
CUAAGUACCUAGUUUUGUAAUGUGUACACUUCUGGCAUUAUAAUUCUACGUACCUGGGG